rnacentral:rRNA from 1 species
ACGAACGCUGGCGGCGUGCUUAACACAUGCAAGUCGAACGGAAAGGCCCCUUUGGGGGUACUCGUGUGGCGAACGGGUGAGUAACACGUGAGUAACCUGCCCUUGACUUCGGGAUAACUUCAGGAAACUGGGGCUAAUACCGGAUAGGAAUCCUUGCUGCAUGGUGGGGGUUGGAAAGCUUCGGCGGUUUUGGAUGGACUCGCGGCUUAUCAGCUUGUUGGUGGGGUAGUGGCUUACCAAGGCUUUGACGGGUAGCCGGCCUGAGAGGGCGACCGGCCACAUUGGGACUGAGAUACGGCCCAGACUCCUACGGGAGGCAGCAGUGGGGAAUAUUGCACAAUGGGCGGAAGCCUGAUGCAGCAACGCCGCGUGCGGGAUGACGGCCUUCGGGUUGUAAACCGCUUUCAGCAGGGGCGAAGCUUGUGGUGACGGUACCUGCAGAAGAAGCACCGGCUAACUACGUG